GUCAGCAUGGCCCUUAUGCCUUGGGCCACACACACGCUACAAUGGAUGGCACAAUUGGUUGCAAGAGCGCAAGCUGGAGCCAAUCCAACAAAGCCAUUCUCAGUUCGGAUUGCAGGCUGAAACCCGCCUGCAUGAAGUCGGAGUUGCUAGUAAUCGCAGGUCAGCAUACUGCCGGUGACCUACGUUCUCGGGCCUU
rnacentral:rRNA from 1 species